rnacentral:rRNA from 1 species
UGGGGAAUAUUGGACAAUGGGCGAAAGCCUGAUCCAGCAAUGCCGCGUGAGUGAUGAAGGCCCUAGGGUUGUAAAGCUCUUUUACCCGGGAUGAUAAUGACAGUACCGGGAGAAUAAGCUCCGGCUAACUUCGUGCCAGCAGCCGCGGUAAUACGAGGGGAGCUAGCGUUGUUCGGAAUUACUGGGCGUAAAGCGCGCGUAGGCGGUUUUUUAAGUCAGAGGUGAAAGCCCGGGGCUCAACCCCGGAAUA